GAGGGUUUAGCUCAGUGGUAGAGCGUGUGCUUAGCAUGCACGAGAUCCUGGGUUCAAUCCCCAGUACCUCCU
rnacentral:tRNA from 1 species